rnacentral:rRNA from 1 species
UACGUAGGGGGCAAGCGUUGUCCGGAUUUAUUGGGCGUAAAGAGCGUGUAGGCGGCCAUGUAGGUCCGUUGUGAAAACUCGAGGCUCAACCUCGAGACGCCGAUGGAAACCAUGUGGCUAGAGUCCGGAAGAGGAGAGUGGAAUUCCUGGUGUAGCGGUGAAAUGCGCAGAUAUCAGGAGGAACACCGGUGGCGAAGGCGGUUCUCUGGGCAUUACCUGACGCUGAGGAGCGAAAGCGUGGGGAGCAAACGGG